rnacentral:misc_RNA from 1 species
GGUGAGUCAUCGAAUCUUUGAACGCACCUUGCACCUUUUGGUAUUCCGAAAGGUAUGCCUGUUUGAGUGUCAUGAAAUCUCAAUCCCAUCGGGUUUUUGACCUGGUGGGGCUUGGACUUGGGCGCUGCCAUAUUGCUUGGCUCGCCUUAAAUGGAUGAGUGAGAAUAGCACUUGUGAUUAGACGUAAUAAGUUUCGUCUUGUCCUGUGUGAGGCUUGCUUCUAACAACCAACCUUUUAUGACUCUGACCUCAAAUCAGGUAGGGCUACCCGCUGAACUUAAGCAUAUCAAUAAGCGGAGG